rnacentral:snoRNA from 1 species
GAGCAAUGAGGACAAUCUUAGGACACCUUUGGAGGGCUUAGCCCGUUGAAAGGAAUCAUGUAGCCUAACUGAGCUCG